rnacentral:ncRNA from 1 species
GCGGAAAAGUUCUAAGCUAGUACGGUACUAGAGUCCAUACGCCAUUAUUAUCAGAUUUUUUCUUGAAUUACACAUGCAAGUCUCAGCACACCCGUGAGGACACCCUUAAACCCUUAACCAGACUAAGGAGCCGGCAUCAGGCGCAACAUCUGCCCACAACGCCUAGUCCCACCACGCCCCCAAGGGCAUUCAGCAGUGAUAAAUAUUGCUAAUAAGCGACAGCUUGACCCAGUUAAAGAAGAUAGAGCCGGCUAACUCGGUGCCAGCCGCCGCGGCUAAACCGCACGGGCUCAAACUGAUAGUUAUCGGCGUUAAGCGUGAUUAAAGUCCCCCUACAAUUAGAGUAGAACCUAUACUUAGCUGUGAAAAGCUUGAACUAGGGAAAAAUCAUAAACGAAAGUUACUCUAAUAAAUCACUUGAAUACACGACAGCUAGGAAACAAACUGGGAUCAGAUACCCCACUAUGCCUAUCCGUAAAAUAUUAAUUCACACCCACCAACGCCAGGGUAUUACAAGCCUUAGCUUAAAACCCAAAGGACUUGACGGUGUCCCAUCCACCUAGAGGAGCCUGUUCCAUAAUCGAUAAUCCCCGCUAUACCUAACCACCCCUUGCCAAUCAGUCUGUAUACCUCCGUCGUAAGCUUACCAUAUGAAUGCCUACAGUAAGUUUAAUGGCCACAAGCACCAAUACGUCAGGUCAAGGUGCAGCUUAUGAGAUGGUGGACAAUGGGCUACAGUUUCUAUACUAGAACAAACGAAACGCUGCAUGAAACACAGCCACGAAGGCGGAUUUAGUAGUAAAAAGAAAAUAGUGUGUUCUUUUUAACUAGGCCCUGGGACGUGUACACACGC